UCCAGCGUGUCCAUUCUUCAAGCCCUUCAAUUCACAUUCACAGUUUUCUUCACCGUUUCCUUUAAUCAUGCCUUAAUCACAUAUCUAUUAUGCUAUAAUCAACAUUCCAUGGACUAUCAAUGGCCUCUGAAUCAUCUCCUUCCUCCAUGGUUUAGGUUCACGACGAAAUCUUCCCUCCCUCGAAAUCUUCUUUAUUUGCCUCUCAAUUUUUCUUCGUUAUUUCCAUUGAUUAUGCUCUAAUCAGGAAACUAUCAUUAGCUGAUGCUCAAUUCUCCGAUCCGACCAUAGCACCUGGCACAGCCACCAAUGGCUGCCCUGCCGCAGGCGAAAAAUUGCCAUCGCCGCUGAUGCCCAACUUCUCUGAUCGCCCACCCUCUCCGACCCGACCAUGGCACCUGGCACAACCGCCAAUGGCUGCCCCGCCGUAGGUGAAAAAUCGCCAUCGCCGCCGAUGCCCAACUUCUCCGAUCGCCCACCCCUUGCUCUAUCUCACUCGGUCGUCGGGCUAGAAAUCGCCAUCACCAGCGACGCCCAACUUCUCCGAUCUCCUCCCAUUUUCACACUCGAGUGGCGCCGAGAAGAAGAAACUCUUCACCUCCAUCAUCAGCUCCUAUCUGCCAUUAAAAUAUGCAUCUGAAACUUGAUUUUGUCCGCAUCACCAACAUGGUAGAUGGCAAGCGAGGAUCGGCCGUGUGGCCGGCAACAAGGAUCUCUACCUUGGGACAUUCGGUAAGUUUGUGAUGAUCAAAUCAAAUGAGGUAAUUUUACUAAUUUGUUUGUGUGAAAAUGUCAUAUAGUAGUAUGUUUGUUUCUUGCAUUUGUGACUAUGUCUUUAUUUGCUACUCUUCUUUUUGAAUGGUGAGUUGUGAUUGCUUUUGCUAAGGCUGAUUCACACAGCAACUUUGACUGUACGUAGCUGGUUUUUAGUGGGACUCCACUUUUUUUUUUCGAUAUAAGUGGGACUCCACUUUUGCUAAGGCUGUUUUAGUUUUUUAUAGACAAAAUAAGAAAGAGAGAAUUGGAUGAAUGUUGAUUUUUUGUGUAUAUGGUUUGAUUUUGCUGUCUGGAGCUCUUUCUUCGUCAAUAUUUCUUAGUUCUUAAGAUUAUUUUCUAUGAUUAUCUUAAUUUCCUCUGUCUUUCAGUUUGACUUGGUAGUAAUUCUGCCAAAUAAACUUUUUUAUCCAUGUUUGAGCUCUUAAAAAAAACAAGAUAUCUCAAGACAUUUUUUAAAAAUAAUACUACGAACUUGCUGUGUAAUUAUGUGUUUGACAAAAUGCUUGAGAGAACCCUGUGAAUUUUUCUUCACAUUCUUGAAAUUGUCUCUUGUUGAUUCUUUUCUUCUUCUUUUUGUUGCACGGAUUAAAGUAGAAGCUUGAUAUUAGAGCUGCUGCAGAACUUUGAUUUCCCUUCGACUUCUUUUCUUGAAAGAAAUCUGAAGUGAAGAUGCUGAAAUGAGGUGCAUUGACUUUGGUCAUUCUGAUUUUCACCGGGACAGGUAAGAAUCCAGUUUAUCACCCUGUUGUUUGAAAAUUGUUAUUUUUUGUCUUGCUAGAAAACCUCAUAGAUUUUCUUCCUAAAGGACAGAUGAGGCAUUGCUUGAUAAGUUAAU